rnacentral:rRNA from 1 species
GGCNNNGGAGUGCUUACCAUGCAGUCGAACGAUGAAGCCCAGCUUGCUGGGUGGAUUAGUGGCGAACGGGUGAGUAACACGUGAGCAACCUGCCCCUGACUCUGGGAUAAGCGCUGGAAACGGCGUCUAAUACUGGAUAUGUCCCGUCACCGCAUGGUGUGCGGGUGGAAAGAUUUUUCGGUUGGGGAUGGGCUCGCGGCCUAUCAGCUUGUUGGUGAGGUAAUGGCUCACCAAGGCGUCGACGGGUAGCCGGCCUGAGAGGGUGACCGGCCACACUGGGACUGAGACACGGCCCAGACUCCUACGGGAGGCAGCAGUGGGGAAUAUUGCACAAUGGGCGAAAGCCUGAUGCAGCAACGCCGCGUGAGGGAUGACGGCCUUCGGGUUGUAAACCUCUUUUAGCAGGGAAGAAGCGAAAGUGACGGUACCUGCAGAAAAAGCACCGGCUAACUACGUGCCAGCAGCCGCGGUAAUACGUAGGGUGCAAGCGUUAUCCGGAAUUAUUGGGCGUAAAGAGCUCGUAGGCGGUCUGUCGCGUCUGCUGUGAAAUCCCGAGGCUCAACCUCGGGCUUGCAGUGGGUACGGGCAGACUAGAGUGCGGUAGGGGAGAUUGGAAUUCCUGGUGUAGCGGUGGAAUGCGCAGAUAUCAGGAGGAACACCGAUGGCGAAGGCAGAUCUCUGGGCCGUAACUGACGCUGAGGAGCGAAAGGGUGGGGAGCAAACAGGCUUAGAUACCCUGGUAGUCCACCCCGUAAACGUUGGGAACUAGUUGUGGGGUCCUUUCCACGGAUUCCGUGACGCAGCUAACGCAUUAAGUUCCCCGCCUGGGGAGUACGGCCGCAAGGCUAAAACUCAAAGGAAUUGACGGGGACCCGCACAAGCGGCGGAGCAUGCGGAUUAAUUCGAUGCAACGCGAAGAACCUUACCAAGGCUUGACAUACACGAGAACGGGCCAGAAAUGGUCAACUCUUUGGACACUCGUGAACAGGUGGUGCAUGGUUGUCGUCAGCUCGUGUCGUGAGAUGUUGGGUUAAGUCCCGCAACGAGCGCAACCCUCGUUCUAUGUUGCCAGCACGUAAUGUGGACUCAUGGAUACUGCCGGGUCACUCGGAGAAAGGUGGGGAUGACGUCAAUCAUCAUGCCCUAA